UACGAAGGGGCUAGCGUUGCUCGGAAUCACUGGGCGUAAAGCGCACGUAGGCGGAUUGUUAAGUCAGGGGUGAAAUCCUGGAGCUCAACUCCAGAACUGCCUUUGAUACUGGCGAUCUUGAGUCCGGGAGAGGUGAGUGGAACUGCGAGUGUAGAGGUGAAAUUCGUAGAUAUUCGCAAGAACACCAGUGGCGAAGGCGGCUCACUGGCCCGGUACUGACGCUGAGGCGCGAAAGCGUGGGGAGCAAACAGGG
rnacentral:rRNA from 1 species